GUCCCGUUGGUGUAGUGGUAACAUUAUUGCCUUCCAUUUCAGUUCGAGUAAUUGUAAGCUUAGCAAUAGCCUCGGGUUCAAUUCCCGAGCGGGACA
rfam:Exophiala mesophila strain CBS 40295 unplaced genomic scaffold supercont1.4, whole genome shotgun sequence.